CAAGUAACGUCUAAAUUAACUUUUUUUUGCUGAUGAACUGUAUAAAUGAGUGUCUAAUAGUGUUUUAAAUGUGUGCAUUCUUUAUUUUAGCAUUUUGGUGCAUUUUCUUUAAAAAUUAAAAAUUCUGUCUAAAAACCACAGUAAUGCGCCACCUUCAGCUGAAAACAUAGAAUUUUUGUCAUUUUGAAUAAAUUUUAGCCAAUGGCUAAAGAGUAAAGUACUACGUAAACCAGUAGAGUACUACGUAGCAGCUCCGUGCCAAAGUUAUAAAAGCAACGAGCGUCUCGGCCACGCCCUGUGGCGAGUGGGAGUUGGAUUUGCAAGCGAGCAUAGGAGGUCAGCGGUAGUUCAGCAUUAGCAUAUAGCAUUAGCAUAUCCUAGUCUUAGCAUAUCUUUUAGUGUUAUAAAUACUUAUUUAGUGUUAGAUUUGGCUGUUGGAUAUUGUAGUUGAGUUAGUGUUUGGCUGUUAGUGUAAUUGGGAAAGUAUUUCUGGUUUAGUGUUCCAUAUCGUCUUAGUAUUGGUGAGUAGGUGUAGUGUAGUAUGCUUGCGGUGACUCUGUGGGCAUUUUACCCGCGAUUCUGCGCGCCUCCGUUUGAAGAGGGAGGCUGCCCACCGUGGCUCUUCCGCGAUUUAGAUGCAGCCCACCGACUCUGCUCCCCCACCACGGCGGGCUCCAGUCUGAGGCUAAAUCUACCCAAGACACUGGCUGUCAGACUGAUUUAGCUGCAUGAAUGUACUUGUCCAGGCUGAUGUGAAACCUUCCCUGUAGCAAAGCCAUCCAGUUUAGAGCUCACAGCCGCAGUGUGUCUGGUGACCCACAGGGACCAUGAUGAAAAUUCAUCUUCCAGAAAGUCCCAGAGCGUCCAGACCUCCUGAAAAGACCAAGAUGUAAGGUGUCUGCUGUUGAUUCCAGCUUCCACCUCUGUGACAGUGCAAGCUCAGUGAACUGUUCAAGCCUGGCUGAUCACCUGAUAACCCCUGUCAUCUGGUUAUGACAGCAUGAGGAUGUCCUCACACACCUGUAACCUAUCAGCUCAUCCUGCUGAAUAGAGAGAGAAGAGACCACACCACAUCUCCUGUUCCUGGAAAGCCUUCAGCCAUCCUUCGAUGACUGAGAACCUCCAUCAGCUCUGUCUCCUGUCUGCCUACAAUUAUUAUAAUAAAUAUUGUGUUUGACAAGUUUUUUGUGCUGCCAAAUAUCUCAUUUAGAUUCGUUUUGAUAUUUUAAUGGAUAUUUAUAAAUUACAUUGAAUAUCACAUUUUUGUUGCAUGUUUAACUAGCUCUAUUGUGAUUAAUUAAGCUAGCACCUCACUGUUAAAAGCUCGUUCUAAUUUCAAGCAUGUUUAAGUAUUUAUGGACAUGAACAAAAACAGGAAAUAUAUAAAUUGAGAUUUAUUUAAUUAAUAUAACAAAUAAGGGGGAAAGAGUCAUUGAAAGGCACGUUCUUCUGAAAGUUCCUGAUCCUGAUGACACCAGCAGAGGAGACCAGCUGCAGACACCAGAGACCAGCUGCAGACACCAGAGGACCUAGAACCAAGAGAGCAGCUGUUAUCAGUAAAUAAAUAAAGAAAUCAGGGCAGUUUUAGUGGGCUGAACACAUUACAGAAUAAUUUUCUCAUGGGGUAUUUUCAUAACUUUAUAUGCAGCAGACUGUAACUUGAGCCCAGAGCUACCGGAGAGCUGCUAUCCAGCACGUUUCAGUGGUUUUCCUGCUUUAACAGGUUAGAUUAACUGUUAAGCAGCUCAGCUAUUUGUUGCUGAUUAAAACCAGGUGUGCUGAAGCAGAUAAACCUCUAAAACAUGCUGAAUACUAGCUUUUUAGGGCCGUGGAGACAAACCCUGCAGCUAAUCCAAUGCUAUGGCUAACGGCUACUUACCUUUCAGAGGUGAUUCUGUUGGGUCGGUUCUGGGAGUUUCAGGCAACUCACAAGCUCAAAACAAUAAGACUCAGGUCCGCUUGUCUCCUCCAAAUAGACUUGGUCCCUUUCUUCUCGAGUGUCUGUGUAAGGAGGGGGAGAAACGUCCUCCACUUCUAAUAACUGCUCAGAGUGAAGGGAGCUAGCUUCGUCUAGUUAGCCAUCGUCUUCGUCACUGCCGCGGCUCCGCCCUCUCGGUCCUCCAGGCAACGCCUACUAAUGUUGCAUUUUUUAAAAUUGAUACGUGGGUGGAGAAGGACUCCGAGGCUCAAUUGACCCGCUCUUUAA